rnacentral:rRNA from 1 species
UACGUAGGGUCCGAGCGUUGUCCGGAAUUAUUGGGCGUAAAGAGCUCGUAGGCGGCUUGGCAAGUCGGGUGUGAAACCUCCAGGCUCAACCUGGAGACGCCACUCGAUACUGCUAUGGCUAGAGUCCGGUAGGGGACCACGGAAUUCCUGGUGUAGCGGUGAAAUGCGCAGAUAUCAGGAGGAACACCGGUGGCGAAGGCGGGUCUCUGGGCAGUAACUGACGCUGAGGAGCGAAAGCAUGGGGAGCGAACAGG